rnacentral:rRNA from 1 species
AUGCAGGACAGAGGACAGUCAGCGGAAGCGGCGGCGGCAAUCUUCGAUGACUGCUAUCACUAUGCUUGUGAUUUUAUGAUGACUAAAUUCGAACAUUGUAAUAGAGAGGAAAAUAAAGUAGCACAUGAACUUUCUAGAUUAGCUAGAUUUUUUUCAACUUCGGAUUGGUUUGAGGAUCCUAUGAGUGAAAUUGUAACGUUUCUCACAAACGAUGUAUUGGUUAUUGCUAAUUAA